GCAGUCGUGGCCGAGUGGUUAAGGCGAUGGACUAAAAAUCCACUGGGGUCUCCCCGGCGUCCCCGCACAGGUUCGAAUCCUGUCGACUGCG
rnacentral:tRNA from 2 species